rnacentral:hammerhead_ribozyme from 1 species
AUCCAGCUGACGAGUCCCAGAUGGGACGAAACGCGCGUCCUGGAU